ACAUCGUGAUCCGCCCGCCUCAGCCUCCCAAGGUGCUGGGAUUACAGGCAUGAGCCACCAUGCCUGGCUGACACAGUAGGCUUUUAACAAAUACUCAAGAAAUCGCAGUUCUUAGGCAUUUAAGGAACAGAGUUGGAACAAAAUCAAGAUUCAAAAUUAUUUCUCUAAGCCUUCUUUGGGCCACAGUCUACAAAGAGAUUGGGGAAGUAGGCUGUCAGAACUUUAAUGGUUCUGAAAUCACCGAAAAUGAUGUAACUGGAACACUUUCAUUUCACAAGAUUACAGUGUUACAUUUUCUAAAGAAACUGUCAUUUGCCUUCUGAACUAGAAACAGGGAUUUGUAAAAUAAUGUGCAGUGAUGGCGUGGAAAACUAACCAGCAGCACUCCUGAAAUGCUGCCUUCGUGUUCCCCUGGGACUGCUCGCCUCACCCCAAAACUAUUUCUACUGCCUUCCCCUUCCAUGCUACAACUAGUCUCCAAAGGUAGUUUUCUCUACUAACAAAGCAAACAGAUCAUAUGAACGGACAUCAGACUUUCUUAGGAGAUUUCUGAAAAUUCUCUCUUCUGGGGGAAUAAAUUGUGAGCAUUUCGAUUCAAACAUUCCUGAAAGAAUAACCAGGCAACCGAAACACUCAGUGACCUAACUGUGGUAGGCUGGUCACUUCAAACUUAACAGAACAAUAAAACAUAUACUACUUUAUGGCCAAAAAAAAAAAUCUUUUUAAAACAAUAAGUGUGGACAAAGUGUUUUCACAGAUGAAGAGAUGAAGUUCCUGAAAUUUAGGGUUUCAUUUCUCAAGGGUCUCCUUUAAACAAACAAACAGUUAUGAUUUCAAAGUAGACAUGUGCCUUCAACACCAUUUUUAAAAAUUACCAGCCUUAGCAAAGGUGUAGAAAAAACUUGUUCUCAAGCACUGUCCGUGGAAGAAUUAGUAAAACAUUUCUAGAAAACCUGUUACCGUCUUAACAAACUUUUAAACACAUGUAGCAAUUCUACUUCCAGGAACUUAUCUAUUUGCCAAGACAUAUAUGCAAGGAUCUUCCCUAUAGGGUUGUGUAUAAAGGAAAAAUCAGACAGACUAUGCCAGGAGCCCUCUGAAAGAGAAGAGUCAACUGUGGAGGGGGCACCUGUGAAUGAAUCCUGCGGAGCUGCUAACAGAGCAGACUUACACACACAACAUGACUUUCCUGGGCCUGACUCCCGGACCUGUCCCCAGCGCCUCGCGGCCUCUCGAGCCCCUUCAGUGACCAAGAUGCAGAGAUCAGGACGCCAUUGCACCACCCCAGGUGCCCGCCUCUAGCUGGCUCCGCCUGGGCCCCGAGGGAAGGUGAGGUCGGGGGGGCCGGGCCAGGGCGUGGCAGCCAGGGUGUUUGUCCGCCGGGCUUGCUGCCUCUGGUGGCCCGGCAGCACCGUCCCACCUCUGCCACCCUCCGAUGGGGCCGCUACCUGCGUGCCUGCCAAUCAUGCUGCUCCUGCUGCUGCUGCUGCUGCUGCUGCUUGGACCUGGCCCCAGGUCUGGCGAGGGGUCUGGCGCUGUCGCCCAGGUUGGAAUACAGCGGUGCAAUCUCAACUCACUGCAAACUCCGCCUCCCAGGUUCAAGCAAUUCUCCUGCCUCAGUCUCCUGAGUAGCUGAGAUUACAGAUGCCUGCCACCACACGCAGCUAAUUGGUUGGGUGUGGUGGGGCUUUCCAAUGAUUACUUAUUAAUGAUUACUUAUGAAAAACAACAACAAAAAAGCCAUCUUGAAGCUGCUUUUAAUGAGAGAACAAAUGUGCUCCCAAGCAACAGAGCAGCGAAAUUCUUUAUUACUGGAUUCUAACUUUCCUCUCUAACUGUAACUGUCUCAGCUCCACCUCAUGUGACUUGGAGGGUAUGUUGCAACCUGCGUCUUCACCACCCAUUCAUGAAGAUCUAUAAAACUAAUGUAAACUGCUGGGGCAAUUUCAACAUGAGUCAACUGGAGAUUGUUACUUGGUGAGAAUGCGCAAGUGGCAAAGAUCUAAAUUUGUUCAGCUAAUUUGUAAUUAACCUUCGCUUCUCACAUGUCAGUAUGUGAAGUGUCUGGUUUAAGCAAUUUAUCCAAAAAAGCCAUAGACUCUUUAAAUAACAACAAAACCUGGGCCUGGAAUUUUAUAAAGGCAGAAUGAGUAAGA
rnacentral:lncRNA from 1 species